rnacentral:rRNA from 1 species
AUCAGCUUGUUGGUGAGGUAAUGGCUCACCAAGGCGACGACGGGUAGCCGGCCUGAGAGGGUGACCGGCCACACUGGGACUGAGACACGGCCCAGACUCCUACGGGAGGCAGCAGUGGGGAAUAUUGCACAAUGGGCGAAAGCCUGAUGCAGCAACGCCGCGUGAGGGAUGACGGCCUUCGGGUUGUAAACCUCUUUUAGUAGGGAAGAAGCGAAAGUGACGGUACCUGCAGAAAAAGCACCGGCUAACUACGUGCCAGCAGCCGCGGUAAUACGUAGGGUGCAAGCGUUGUCCGGAAUUAUUGGGCGUAAAGAGCUCGUAGGCGGUUUGUCGCGUCUGCUGUGAAAUCCCGAGGCUCAACCUCGGGCUUGCAGUGGGUACGGGCAGACUAGAGUGCGGUAGGGGAGAUUGGAAUUCCUGGUGUAGCGGUGGAAUGCGCAGAUAUCAGGAGGAACACCGAUGGCGAAGGCAGAUCUCUGGGCCGUAACUGACGCUGAGGAGCGAAAGCGUGGGGAGCGAACAGGAUUAGAUACCCUGGUAGUCCACGCCGUAAACGUUGGGCGCUAGAUGUAGGAACCUUUCCACGGUUUCUGUGUCGUAGCUAACGCAUUAAGCGCCCCGCCUGG